ACUUAAAUUGAAGAGUUUGAUCAUGGCUCAGAUUGAACGCUGGCGGCAGGCCUAACACAUGCAAGUCGAACGGUAGCACAGAGAGCUUGCUCUCGGGUGACGAGUGGCGGACGGGUGAGUAAUGUCUGGGAAACUGCCUGAUGGAGGGGGAUAACUACUGGAAACGGUGGCUAAUACCGCAUAACGUCGCAAGACCAAAGAGGGGGACCUUCGGGCCUCUUGCCAUCAGAUGUGCCCAGAUGGGAUUAGCUGGUUGGUGAGGUAACGGCUCACCAAGGCGACGAUCCCUAGCUGGUCUGAGAGGAUGACCAGCCACACUGGAACUGAGACACGGUCCAGACUCCUACGGGAGGCAGCAGUGGGGAAUAUUGCACAAUGGGCGCAAGCCUGAUGCAGCCAUGCCGCGUGUA
rnacentral:rRNA from 1 species